UACGGGGGGGGCAAGCGUUGUUCGGAAUUACUGGGCGUAAAGGGCUCGUAGGUGGCCAACUAAGUCAGACGUGAAAUUCCUCGGCUUAACCGGGGAACUGCGUCUGAUACUGGACGGCUUGAGUUUGGGAGAGGGACGCGGAAUUCCAGGUGUAGCGGUGAAAUGCGUAGAUAUCUGGAGGAACACCGGUGGCGAAGGCGGCGUCCUGGACCAACACUGACACUGAGGAGCGAAAGCCAGGGGAGCAAACGGG
rnacentral:rRNA from 1 species